rnacentral:misc_RNA from 1 species
UUUGAAAAUGCAUGGUCAGGAUUUUACAUCGCAAUCAAUCCCUUGAAGUCAGAAAAAACAUUACCCAUGUAAAACUACCUCCAUGAGAUCAAAUCUAAACCUUUUGUUUUCAAAUCAAGGGAUAGGAUUGAAUGAAUAUAACAGGCCAGGUUUAUGGAAACUUGAGAGGAUUUUAAUAUGUAAUGGACUAUAAUGGACUAAGGGAAAUGCUGAUAAAUGAUGAGUAUUAUUUCAUACUUGUGAUUCUUUGACCUUUAGACUUUUAGUAUCUUUUCAACUUAAGUUUUUCUGCUUCUACUUCUGUUUUUUUAAUCUUGCAAAAAACAACAGCAUUAAAGUUGAUGUUCAAUAUUGUGGCAUAUUUGACAGCAUAUUACCAAAUGCUGUUAUGUGGAAUUGGUUCUUUUGUAGGAUUUUUAUUUAUAUUUAUGCCAUAUUAGAUUUGUAUUUAUCUGUG